UUAGGUAAACGAUGCGUACUUGUUACGUAUAGGAAAGUCCAGGCUCACACAAUCUGCGAUGAUUGUAGUGUUCGUGCUAGGGGAAUAAAUAACCCUAGGUAGUUUUACUAACGGCGUCGAAAUAGUCCCUCUGGGAUUAAAUUAGACAUAAAGUGCCAAAGAGACGAGUCCAAGGAGCAAUUCUUGGAGUGGAACGUGGUAAACCCCGCGAGUGAGAAACCCAAAUUUUGGUAGGGGAGUCUUUGCUAGAAAUUGAACGAUGCAAAGGACCUUUUUAAGGUAGAUAAAUGUUUACCGCCUAUUUAUAGGUACAGAACUUGGCUUAUU
rnacentral:RNase_P_RNA from 1 species